rnacentral:tRNA from 1 species
GGCCUAUUAGCUCAGUUGGUUAGAGUGUUGUGCUAAUAACGUGAAGGUCACAGGUUUGAAACCUGCAUCGGCUA